AAACCUACCCUCAGCACGGGGAUAAACCCGGGAAACUGGGUAUAAUACCCGAUAGUUCUGGGGAGCUGGAAUGCUUCCAGGACGAAAGCUCCGGCGACUGAGGAUGGGUCUGCGGCCUAUCAGGUAGUAGUGGGUGUAAUGUACCUACUAGCCUACGACGGGUACGGGUCGUGAGAGCGAGAGCCCGGAGAUGGAUUCUGAGACACGAAUCCAGGCCCUACGGGGUGCAGCAGGCGCGAAAACUUUACAAUGCUGGCAACAGCGAUAAGGGGACCUCGAGUGCCAGGAUACAAUCUUGGCUGUCGUAAUGCCUAAAAAGCAUUGCAUAGCAAGGGCCGGGCAAGACCGGUGCCAGCCGCCGCGGUAACACCGGCGGCUCGAGUGGUAACCGCUAUUAUUGGGUCUAAAGGGUCUGUAGCCGGCCGGAUAAGUCUUUUGGGAAAUCCAGCAGCUCAACUGUUGGGCUUUCAGAAGAUACUGUUCGGCUCGAGACCGGGAGAGGUGAGAGGUACUUCAGGGGUAGGGGUGAAAUCUUGUAAUCCUUGAAGGACCACCAGUGGCGAAGGCGUCUCACCAGAACGGAUCUGACGGCAAGGGACGAAAGCUAGGGGCACGAACCGGAUUAGAUACCCGGGUAGUCCUAGCCGUAAACGAUACUCGCUAGGUGUCAGCCACGGUGCGACCGUGGUUGGUGCCGUAGGGAAGCCGUGAAGCGAGCCACCUGGAAGUACGGCCGCAAGGCUGAAA
rnacentral:rRNA from 1 species